rnacentral:rRNA from 1 species
GACGAACGCUGGCGGCGUGCUUAACACAUGCAAGUCGAGCGGUAAGGCCCCUUCGGGGGUCCACGAGCGGCGAACGGGUGAGUAACACGUGAGCAAUCUGCCCAUCACAUCGGGAUAACUCCGGGAAACCGAAGCUAAUACCGAAUACGACCACCUCCGGCAUCGGAUGGUGGUGGAAAGUUCCGGCGGUGAUGGAUGAGCUCGCGGCCUAUCAGCUUGUUGGUGGGGUAACGGCCCACCAAGGCUUCGACGGGUAGCCGGCCUGAGAGGGUGACCGGCCACACUGGGACUGAGACACGGCCCAGACUCCUACGGGAGGCAGCAGUGGGGAAUAUUGGACAAUGGGCGAAAGCCUGAUCCAGCAACGCCGCGUGAGGGAGGACGGCCUUCGGGUUGUAAACCUCUUUCAGCAGGGACGAAGCGCAAGUGACGGUACCUGCAGAAGAAGCACCGGCCAACUACGU